rnacentral:rRNA from 1 species
CGGUUAAGUUAGAAAGGGCGCACGGUGGAUGCCUUGGCACUAGGAGCCGAUGAAGGACGGGACUAACACCGAUAUGCUUCGGGGAGCUGUAAGUAAGCUUUGAUCCGGAGAUUUCCGAAUGGGGAAACCCACUGUUCGUAAUGGAACAGUAUCUUUACCUGAAUACAUAGGGUACUGAAGGCAGACCCGGGGAACUGAAACAUCUAAGUACCCGGAGGAAGAGAAAGCAAACGCGAUUUCCUGAGUAGCGGCGAGCGAAACGGAAUUAGCCCAAACCAAGAGGCUUGCCUCUUGGGGUUGUAGGACACUCAACAUGGAGUUACAAAGGAACGGGGUAAAUGAAGCGAUCUGGAAAGAUCCGUCGAAGAAGGUAAAAACCCUGUAGUUGAAACUUCGUUCCCUCCUGAGUGGAUCCUGAGUACGGCGGGACACGAGAAAUCCCGUCGGAAGCAGGGAGGACCAUCUCCCAAGGCUAAAUACUCCCUAGUGACCGAUAGUGAACCAGUACCGUGAGGGAAAGGUGAAAAGCACCCCGGAAGGGGAGUGAAAUAGAUCCUGAAACCGUGUGCCUACAAGUAGUCAAAGCCCGUUAAUGGGUAAUGGCGUGCCUUUUGUAGAAUGAACCGGCGAGUUACGAUUUCAUGCGAGGUUAAGUUGAUGAGACGGAGCCGCAGCGAAAGCGAGUCUGAAUAGGGCGAAUGAGUAUGAGGUCGUAGACCCGAAACCAGGUGAUCUACCCAUGUCCAGGGUGAAGUUCAGGUAACACUGAAUGGAGGCCCGAACCCACGCACGUUGAAAAGUGCGGGGAUGAGGUGUGGGUAGCGGAGAAAUUCCAAUCGAACCUGGAGAUAGCUGGUUCUCUCCGAAAUAGCUUUAGGGCUAGCCUCAAGAUGAGAGUAUUGGAGGUAGAGCACUGAUUGGACUAGGGGCCCCCAACGGGUUACCGAAUUCAGUCAAACUCCGAAUGCCAAAUACUUAUUCUUGGGAGUCAGACUGCGAGUGAUAAGAUCCGUAGUCGAAAGGGAAACAGCCCAGACCACCAGCUAAGGUCCCAAAGUAUACGUUAAGUGGAAAAGGAUGUGGAGUUGCUUAGACAACCAGGAUGUUGGCUUAGAAGCAGCCACCAUUUAAAGAGUGCGUAAUAGCUCACUGGUCGAGUGACUCCGCGCCGAAAAUGUACCGGGGCUAAACGUAUCACCGAAGCUGUGGAUUGACACCGUUGGGUGUCGAUGGUAGGAGAGCGUUCUAAGGGCGUUGAAGUCAGACCGGAAGGACUGGUGGAGCGCUUAGAAGUGAGAAUGCCGGUAUGAGUAGCGAAAGAAGGGUGAGAAUCCCUUCCACCGAAUGCCUAAGGUUUCCUGAGGAAGGCUCGUCCGCUCAGGGUUAGUCGGGACCUAAGCCGAGGCCGAAAGGCGUAGGCGAUGGACAACAGGUUGAUAUUCCUGUACCACCUAUACAUCGUUUGAACGAUGGGGGGACGCAGAAGGAUAGGGUAAGCGCGCUGUUGGAUAUGCGCGUCCAAGCAGUUAGGCCGGAAACGAGGCAAAUCCCGUUUCCAUUAAGGCGGAGCUGUGAUGGCGAGGGAAAUAUAGUACCGAAGUUCCUGAUUCCACGCUGCCAAGAAAAGCCUCUAGUGAGAUGUAAGGUGCCCGUACCGCAAACCGACACAGGUAGGCGAGGAGAGAAUCCUAAGGUGUGCGAGAGAACUCUCGUUAAGGAACUCGGCAAAAUGACCCCGUAACUUCGGGAGAAGGGGUGCU